rnacentral:rRNA from 1 species
ACUCCUACGGGAGGCAGCAGUGGGGAAUAUUGCACAAUGGGGGAAACCCUGAUGCAGCCAUGCCGCGUGUGUGAAGAAGGCCUUCGGGUUGUAAAGCACUUUCAGUAGGGAGGAAGGUAGUGUAGUUAACACCUGCAUUAUUUGACGUUACCUACAGAAGAAGCACCGGCUAACUCCGUGCCAGCAGCCGCGGUAAUACGGAGGGUGCGAGCGUUAAUCGGAAUUACUGGGCGUAAAGCGCAUGCAGGCGGCCUGUUAAGUCAGAUGUGAAAGCCCGGGGCUUAACCUCGGAAUUGCAUUUGAAACUGGCAGGCUAGAGUCUUGUAGAGGGGGGUAGAAUUUCAGGUGUAGCGGUGAAAUGCGUAGAGAUACUGAAGGAAUACCAGUGGCGAAGGCGGCCCCCU